AUUGAACGCUGGCGGCAGGCCUAACACAUGCAAGUCGAGCGGAGCGGCGGACGGGUGAGUAAUGUAUCGGAACGUGCCCAGUAGCGGGGGAUAACUACGCGAAAGCGUAGCUAAUACCGCAUACUAUUGGAGCGGCCGAUAUCGGAUUAGCUAGUUGGUGGGGUAACGGCUCACCAAGGCGACGAUCCGUAGCUGGUUUGAGAGGACGACCAGCCACACUGGGACUGAGACACGGCCCAGACUCCUACGGGAGGCAGCAGUGGGGAAUUUUGGACAAUGGGGGAAACCCUGAUCCAGCCAUCCCGCGUGUAUGAAGAAGGCCUUAGGGUUGUAAAGUACUUUCAGCGGGGAGGCGUUACCCGCAGAAGAAGCACCGGCUAACUCCGUGCCAGCCGCCGCGGUAAUAC
rnacentral:rRNA from 1 species